AGCGGCGGACGGGUGAGUAACACGUGGGUAACCUGCCCAAGAGACUGGGAUAACACCUGGAAACAGAUGCUAAUACCGGAUAACAACACUAGACGCAUGUCUAGAGUUUGAAAGAUGGUUCUGCUAUCACUCUUGGAUGGACCUGCGGUGCAUUAGCUAGUUGGUAAGGUAACGGCUUACCAAGGCAAUGAUGCAUAGCCGAGUUGAGAGACUGAUCGGCCACAUUGGGACUGAGACACGGCCCAAACUCCUACGGGAGGCAGCAGUAGGGAAUCUUCCACAAUGGACGAAAGUCUGAUGGAGCAACGCCGCGUGAGUGAAGAAGGGUUUCGGCUCGUAAAGCUCUGUUGGUAGUGAAGAAAGAUAGAGGUAGUAGCUGGCCUUUAUUUGACGGUAAUUACUUAGAAAGUCACGGCUAACUACGUGCCAGCAGCCGCGGUAAUACGUAGGUGGCAAGCGUUGUCCGGAUUUAUUGGGCGUAAAGCGAGUGCAGGCGGUUCAAUAAGUCAGAUGUGAAAGCCUUCGGCUCAACCGGAGAAUUGCAUCAGAAACUGUUGAACUUGAGUGCAGAAGAGGAGAGUGGAACUCCAUGUGUAGCGGUGGAAUGCGUAGAUAUAUGGAAGAACACCAGUGGCGAAAGCGGCUCUCUGGUCUGCAACUGACGCUGAGGCUCGAAAGCAUGGGUAGCGAACAGGAUUAGAUACCCCGGUAGUCCAUGCCGUAAACGAUGAGUGCUAAGUGU
rnacentral:rRNA from 1 species